GUGGGAGCGAGCCUGCUCGCGAUAGCGGUUCGUCAGUGACAUUGUCUGUUCUGACACGCCGCAAUCGCGAGCAGGCUCGCUCCCAC
rnacentral:misc_RNA from 1 species